rnacentral:tRNA from 1 species
AAGGUUUUAAGUUAAUAAAACUAACAAUCUUCAAAAUUGUAUAUAAAGAAUAUUCUUUAAGCCUUA